UGCUGCUUUCAUUUUCUUCAAGGCCUUAAUUCUCUCAAUCCGUACACGUUUCAUCAUUGCGAGUUCAGCGAUCUCUUUAAUAAGCUUCUGAUCAGCAGCAUCCAAAGAUAUUCCUCUUGGAGGUCUAGGAGGCUUUUUAGCACUACCGGAUUUACGCUUAUCUUUCACAUUUUUCUUCUCUACGCCAUUUUCAGCCACUAAUCCCUUAACCUUAUGGUCUACCAGCACCUUUACAUUCUCCGGAGAAAGCUCAUCGUCAUCCUUUACAUCGCUAAUCAUACAAAACCCAUUUUCAGGUCUAAUAAGUUGUUCUUCAUCACAGAUAUUGUUGAAAAAUCUAUUUCCUACUUUAUCAAUGGAAUUAGUAUGAGUAGUUGCUACUUCUUCAAUGGUGUUGUUGCACAUCUCAACAUCAAUCACAAAAUCACAGGGUGUAUGAUCCAUGAGAACUCCACUCUGCAAUCUGCCCCGGAUACUGAUCUUUAGAGGCAGAUCCGAAGAGUGAUAUUGGAGAUGUGAAUCAAGAGGAGUG
rnacentral:misc_RNA from 1 species